GACGUAGGGCGCGAGCGUUGUCCGGAUUUAUUGGGCGUAAAGAGCUCGUAGGCGGCUUGUCGCGUCGUCCGUGAAAACCCACAGCUCAACUGUGGGCUUGCAGUCGAUACGGGCAGGCUAGAGUUCGGUAGGGGAGACUGGAAUUCCUGGUGUAGCGGUGAAAUGCGCAGAUAUCAGGAGGAACACCGGUGGCGAAGGCGGGUCUCUGGGCCGAUACUGACGCUGAGGAGCGAAAGCGUGGGGAGCGAACAGG
rnacentral:rRNA from 1 species